GACGAACGCUGGCGGCGUGCCUAACACAUGCAAGUCGAGCGAUGAAACCCUUCGGGGUGGAUUAGCGGCGGACGGGUGAGUAACACGUGGGUAACCUGCCUCAAAGAGGGGGAUAGCCUCCCGAAAGGGAGAUUAAUACCGCAUAACAUUAUUUCUUCGCAUGAAGAGAUAAUCAAAGGAGUAAUCCGCUUUGAGAUGGACCCGCGGCGCAUUAGCUAGUUGGUGAGGUAAUGGCUCACAAAGGCGACGAUGCGUAGCCGACCUGAGAGGGUGAUCGGCCACAUUGGAACUGAGAUACGGUCCAGACUCCUACGGGAGGCAGCAGUGGGGAAUAUUGCGCAAUGGGGGAAACCCUGACGCAGCAACGCCGCGUGGGUGAAGAAGGCCUUCGGGUUGUAAAGCUCUGUCUUCUGGGACGAUAAUGACGGUACCAGAGGAGGAAGCCACGGCUAACUACGUGCCAGCAGCCGCCGUAA
rnacentral:rRNA from 1 species